UGCAAGGGAGCGCGUCGGGCUCCACGUGGAACCACUUCUCGCGGAGUUGGGGUCGAGACGGACCGGCAUUCCGCAGGAAGUCGGAGCGCCGGGUUUGGAGGAGGAGUUUGGGGCUGCACCGUCAGCCACGUGGCCGCCUCGCUCUUCCAGACAGUCGAGCAUGUUCAGGGUCCCAGGUGAAGAGCGAAAGCGAAUGGUGGGUUUCUGGAAACUUGAACUAAGCUCAAGGUGACGAGGGAGAGGACAUGGGGCUCUCAAUGGGGCCGGGGUCUCUCUGCCAAGAGCUUAAAAGUCGUGAGGUGAGAUGAGCAGAAAAAGGCAUUGCCUUCCCAAAGACCAAAGCUUGAAAUUUCACCCUUGCAUCAGCCACACUCUCUUCCACCUGUGUUCCUGUCAAGCUUGGGAACAACAUCUGGUUCAUUUUGUAUCUACAAUGUCUUGCCUAAUGCUUAACACAUGCUCAGAAAAUGUUGAAACAGAGUCUCUUUCCCUUCUCCUGAAUCUGGAAUGGCCCUGUGACUUGCUUUGAUCAAUAAAAUGUGGCAGAAAUGAUGGUGUGCAGCUUCUGAGGCCUGACAUUAUGAUACCUUGCAGCUUCUACCUUUAAUCUUUUGCAACACUCUUCUGAGACUUCCCAGGAUGAAAGAAAACAUGGAAGGCAAGACUAAUCCAUCAACCAGCACCAACUGACAGACUUGGGAGUGAGGCCAUCUUGGGACUCCCAGCUCAGCGAACCCUCUUGGUAAACGCAACCCUAUCAGUGAGCCCAUACCAAGCCAGCCAAUUCACAGA